AGCGAACGCUGGCGGCAGGCCUAACACAUGCAAGUCGAACGAAGUCUUCGGACUUAGUGGCGGACGGGUGAGUAACACGUGGGAACGUGCCUUUAGGUUCGGAAUAACUCAGGGAAACUUGCGCUAAUACCGAAUGGGCCCUUCGGGGGAAGGAUUUAUCGCCUUUAGAGCGGCUCGCUUAUGAUUAACUAGUUGGUUAGGUAAAGGCUCACCAAGGCGACAAUCAGUAGCUGGUCUGGGAGGAUGAUCAGCAACAUUGGUACUGAGACACGGGCUAAACUCCUACGGGAGGCAGCAUUAGGGAAUCUUGCGCAAUGGGCGAAAGCCUGAAGCAGCCAUGCCGCGUGAAUGAUGAAGGUCUUAGGAUUGUAAAAUUCAUUCACCGGGGAAGAUAAUGACGGUACCCGGAGAAGAAGCCCCGGCUAACUUCGUGCCAGCAGCCGCCGUAAUAC
rnacentral:rRNA from 1 species